rnacentral:lncRNA from 1 species
AAAAUUUGGAUUCGAUAUUAUACUGUAUAGUUUUACUUAGUUGUACUGAGUUAUAUUUUUUUUACUGGGUAGGAUGGACAGAGGAGAUUCAUCUUUUGCGGUUUAUGGGUUGGGUUUUCUCGAAAUCUCGAGAUCUCAAUUUUGGGGAUAAAAAUGGAGAUACGAUUUGAGCAUACUAAAUACCUUUUCUCGGAUCUUACGGGUGCACUGAAAGGAAAGGGAAGAGAUGGUGGUGCUUUAUUCCGAAUCUGCAAGAUAGGGGAUCGAUUUGUGGAGAAUCAGAUAUACUCUUGAUGUAUUUGGGUGCUACCUUGUGACUGG